GGGAGGUAACAGAGCCACAGCAUGUCACCACAGGGCAAUGGGCGGCGCUGUGUCGGGUUACAGUGUGUGUGUGUGUGUGUGUGUGUGUGUGUGUGUGUGUGUGUGUGUGUGUGUGUGUGUGUAGGUUUGUCACACUUACCUACAUAGAAAAUCCUGUCUGCUACGUACUUAUUUAUUAUUAAGAGUGUUAGUGGUGAUACCUUUACACACACACACACACACACACACACACACACACACACACAGGAUGUUGAACAGUCACACAAUCUCCAUUACCUAACAAGUCCAGGCAGAUAAAAACAACUUGUGGUGAGCCUUUCAUAACACAGAGAGAGAGAGAGAGAGAGAGAGAGAGAGAGAGAGAGAGAGAGAGAGAGAGAGAGAGAGAGAGAGAGAGAGAGAGAGAUUAACCAGAUAUCCUUUCCACUCCAUUUUUUGAUCCAUACUAAUCAAAUUUGUAAAUGACUAACACACACACACACACACACACACACACACACACACACACACACACACACACACACACACACUACACAGACACUCUCUCUCAGUAACUAGACACUCACCUUUACCGUAACUACCAUAACUCAAACAACCUAGUUAGUGAGUUUUAAUAGUCUGCACCUUAUCGCCACUGGGAGAAAACGGGUCUCUUUUCCUGGGGUCACUUCGUUAUUAAUUCACAACCAUGCUGCUUCAGUUAGUUAAUCCAAACACAGGAAGUAAUAGAUAAGAUAGACUUGGGUGACCUGGAAUAGACGGGUAGAGGUUAGUGGAGGUUAGAGGUCUUGUGUUUGUCUGGCAGUGGAAUUGUUGAGAUAUGAUGGUGGUGGUGGUGGUGAUGCAGCCUUCUUGUUCUUGUCGGGGCUUGUGUGUGUGUGUGUGUGUGUGUGUGUGUGUGUGUGUGUGUGUGUGUGUGUGUGUGUGUGUGUGUGUGUGUGUGUGCUUUGCCUCCCACGAUGCGCAGUCAGUUAAUUAAUUUGUUGACGAAGGAACGUAGAUUACAUAAACAGAAAUCUAGUACAGUUUUAUAUCUUAGUUCUUGCUGCACAGUAAUGAUAAAGAUGCAGUUUAUCUCUACUUCAUACUGGUGACUUCACAACACAUCAGAACUCGAUAAAACAAAACCAUUACCAAACUUCCACGCCAAUACUCUCAUUAGCAAACACCGUGGACAAUCUUCGUACUUAGUGAUGUUUAGAUAAUUAACCUAAUUGCAUAAGCUGUCUCGCCGCCGCAGUAACACCGGUCAUGUGGCGCCAGUACACUUAGGCAUGAGGAAAGGGUACUUGCAUUUGGUUCUACGUACAAAGGUUACUUGUUCGUGGUAUUGGGCGGUUCUCGUAUUUCUUAACAUUUCGGCGUCUCUUAUACCAGUGGCAGGCUGGAAUGGAAGUUAUUUGUUGGGGUUUCCGAGAGUGUUUUUAUGAUUCUAGCGAUAGUUGAAGUCUGUACGUAGUGGAAGUUAUUCUAAGUACAAAGGAUACGUCUUGUGUGUGGUAAUGGACAGUACUUGUAUAUCUAAACUUUUCGGUAUCUGUUGUUCCAUUAGCAGGUUGGAAUGGAAGUUAAUUGUUGGGGUUUCCGAGUGUUUUUUUUUUUUUUUUUUUUUAUGAUUCUAGCGAUAGUUCAAGUGUGUAUUGGAAGUUAUUGGGAUUUACAAGGGUUUUUUUCAUGGUUCUAGUGUUGAUAAAGUAAAAAAAAACACUCAUAAGAGCUCAAGUAUUCAUCUCUGUGGCCUUUGGAAUUAGUGUUGGUGAAAGGACAAGGUGUGUGGGAGUAAGAACAUAUGUGUUUUGAGUGCACGUAAAGAAAGACAGGCAUUAGUAAUGGUAUUUUCUAUUGAAAGUUGGAAAAUAGUAGACUUGAAGGAGAAAGAAAGACUAAUGAUACACACAAACAAUUACAACAGCAUUUACACUUAUUUGACGUAUCUAGAAAGGUUCCCAACUAAAUUUUCUGUUAGUGCAAGGUAUGAGAUUGUUAUUAGACUUGAAUCAUCCUUAUUUACCACCACUAUUACUACAACUACUACUUGAUGAACUUAUCCUCAUAUAGUAGUAGUAGUAGUAGUAGUAGCAGGAGUAGUAGUAGUAGUAGCAGUAGUAGUGGCAGCAUAAACAAUCUGCUCACAACCAAAUUGCCCUUAUGCUCAUUCAACUUAUCAUAAUCAUUUAGAGCUCCGCCAUCCUCGCCAAGCCUUGCACUGCCUGAGCCGGGGGAGUAUGGGAGGAGGGCGAGGGAGUCCUUUUGCGUCCCUGUGUAGCACUUGAAAGACUCAGAAUCACAGCAGCGAACUACAUCUCAAGUUUUCCUCGUUAGAUGUGGGCUAAGCGUUUUUGCGUUCCGUGUGUGUGUGUGUGUGUGUGUGUGUGUGUGUGUGUGUGUGUGUGUGUGUGUGUGUGUGUGUGUGUGUAGGCGCCAGUCAUGCUAUUCCAAAGUGUCACUGACCCUCUUCUUUUCCCCUCCUUCCCUCCUUUCUCCUCAUCCUUACGGUUCCCUCGUUUCCCCCUUCUUUACCUCUUACUGUCCCCUUACUGUACCCUAACCUCUCUUGCCCCCGCUCAUGAUUUCCCUUCACGUCAUCACCCAUCUUAACCCCUUGCGUCAACACCUCAUCACUAUUUCCCCUUCCUUGCAUUCUCCUUAGCCACUUCCCCUUAACCAUUUUCCCUUAGCCACAUCUUCCCCUUAACCUCUUCCCUUUAAUCAUCCAUUCCCAUUACAGACCUCUUCCCCUUAGGCACUUCUUAUAUAUCUGGCUACACUCAAGAGGCGGUGAGACCCUACCCUCCCCGCGAGACUUGUGAUGAGAGGAGGGGAGGGUGUGGGGAGCCAAACAUGGUCUCAUGGGUGGGGUUUGGGGUGAGGGGGGAGGGUAGGGUGAGUGUAGGCCUGGCGAUGUGUUCGGUGAUGGAGGGAGAUGGGGAGGAGAGGGAUGAGAGUGAAGGGAGAGGUGGUCGGGUUAAAGUAGUAGUAAUAGUAGUUGUAGUAGUAGUAGUAGUAGUAGUAGUAGUAAAGAUUUCUGUAGGAAGUCAAAAGGAUGAGGCUGUUGAAGAUACCAAGCUGUAGGAGACUAGAGACAGGAUCACCACCACCACCAGCGCCACCACCACCACCACCACCACCUCGUUGCACUGUUACCAAGGUCUCAAGCUGCGUUGCCUCUCAUGCCCAGCGACUAGCCCUUGUCAAUACGAGUUUGCCAGGCUUCACCCCUCGCCCGCUCACUCCAGGCCCUCCACGUGGACAGGGCGCGGACGUUGCGGAAGGGUGGUGGUCGCUAGGGGUACUAAGCAGCUUCGUGCCCGUGUGGUGACAACGCUGAUGCUGUACACGUCUCCUCAUGUCCUAAUACCAACCGCUGCUAGCAUACAUGAUCCCUUCACGGAGUUAUCUGCCAGUCACCCAGUCAGUCAGUCAGUCGGUUACUCAGUUUCUUUUCAAUUAGCGAGUUAGUUAAUCAGUUUGUUUUUUCAGUCAGCUAGCUAGUCAUUCAUUCAGUUAUACCAGUCUAUUUAGUCGUCCAAUUACCUUUUUAUUCAGCUAAACAGUCAGCCUGCCAACUAGCCCUACACUCAGUCAGUCAUCCGAUCACUAAGUCAGCUAGUCAUUCAGCCAUCCAGUCAGCCAGCAAGCCAACUAGUCAACCAACCAGCCAGAUAAUUCCUCAGCUUCCCACACUCCUAGCCAACCACUUCCUCGAUAGCCAGCCUGUUUUUCCAGCCUUUCGACAGUCCAUCAAUCAACCGCACCAGAGUUAAAAGAUGGCUCGCAAAAAGGCAUUCCUGAGGCGAGUGUUGACAGACCACAAGGAAGCGCCACUCACGCACUGAGGGGGCUUGUUUGGACAGUCACGCAAAUGAACCUCGCAACAUGACGACAAUGCAUGCUAGUUAGAGGGGACAAAGGGUAAUUUAGAGCGGCAAGCAAGGGUAGAGGGAAGGUGGAGGGUAAGAGGGAUAGGGAGAAGGACAGGGAGAGGUUGUGUGGCUGAGUGGAAGGUCUGUUGGCUCAAAGAUCUGGUGGGGGUAUUGACAGUGCACUCACGCGGUGUUCUUUCUCUCUACUCCUCUUUCUGUCUCUCUCUGAAGUAGCCGCCUGCUUCUGCCACACUACUAAGCCUGCCUUUUGCUGCCUUUAGUGUACAGGCACCGCUGCAACACACGCGAGGAAGCUUGCCGCGUUAAACCCAACCUUGCGUGGUCACAGAUUACACGUUUUAUAUUCCCUCUGUGCCACGAGUUACCAAUCGGACAGUGACCCCUGACCUGACUUGAGGCUUUGGAGAGGUCAGUUGGUCAGUGGGCGUUACGAUUCUUGGCGGUUAUUUUUCUCAGCAAAGGACACGGUGUGGAGGCAGUGGGUGAAACGGAGGGCGUGAGGGAUGCGUGGACAGUGAAGGGCAUUGACCGCGUCUCGUCGGGUGCACGAGGACACGACACCAAAGUAUGUAUGCGCAGGGAGGAGAAAGUUGUGGUAGUCUGGAGGUGGUGGUGGUGGUGGUGGUGGUGGUGUUGCUGUGUUGCGAUCAGCACUCCACUACUCCAGCCAGCGGGAAGGAAUGUGACAGCACUGUUUGAGUAUUUGUGUUGCUCUUAAAAAAAUAGCAGGGAGGGAGAGAGAGACAGGCAGACAGACACAGACAGACAGACAUACAGUUAGAUAGAUAGACUGACAGACGGACACUGACCAGGAAACACAAGACAGAUAAAGCAGAGGCAAAUGAACAUGAAGGAAAACAUAGGCAAGAUUAGUAGAAAGAUUAAUAGCAUUUCUAGAUUUUAACAUGAUAUAAUGAAUUGCUUGUGUCAGUAAGAAGCAAAACAAGAAAAGUUAUAUUAAAAAGUAAAUUCAGUGUCCCGUAACCUCAUUUGUGGUCCUUUUCUUCUUCCUCCUUCUCCUCCUCCUCCUCUUCUUUAUCUCAACAUCAACCUCCAUCCCCAACAUGUUUAUUUACACUCAUAUUUAAAACCACGAGCAUACUGAACGCCACAUGUUUCUCCUGUUUAUGCUUGAUUCCCGGGACUGAUUUUUAUAAGGAGGACGCUUGGUGACGUGCAGCCAAAGAACAGAAUCAGGAAGACGAGUGUUGGUGGGGGAGUCUGAUAUCGUACGCUUGCUUGUUAUUGUUGUACACUGGCUGGUUUAUGCGACAGGGUGUGUUGAUGGCUGGAACUAGGCGUGAAAUUUGCCACACACACACACACACACACACACACACACACACACAGAGAGAGAGAGAGAGAGAGAGAGACUGACAGGAGGGUACAGAGGGGCGCUAAGACGGUAGUUUCAGCACGCGAGUCACAUCCCAGCGGCAGCGGCGAGAGCAGAGUGAGGGACGGAAUGCGCAGCUAUGUCGCUUAUUAGGGAGGCGCCUAAAGUGCUCAGUCAGGUUGUUGAAGCCGCUGGUUCGAAUCCCGUUAGCCUGAUACAUCGAAAUCCAGAAAUAAAGGUUCAAAGAGCUCGAAACAUGCAUUGUAACCACUGGACAUUUAAAACAGACCAAAAUUACUUAAAAGGCUCGUUCAUAAAAAAAAGGUUUGUUAUCGUAACUCAGCAGCAAGUGACAUAAAUUCUCUGCUCUUAACUCGUACACUUGUCUAUUUUAUUGUUGUUAUUUCCCUCGUUCUCGUGUUGACGUGUUAUUGUUGUUUCUGGCCGCGGGCACGGCGAACCCAACGAACCAGAGGGCGCCGCUGCAGAGGACGCCGUAGAGAGCUUUAGCAGGAGAAGGAGGAGGAGGAGGAGGUCGAGGGGCGGGGCUGCUGCAGGGGUGGAGAGAAAGGCUGCCGUGAGGUCUGGUGAAGUGCGUUGAGUAAUAUGAAGUGACUCGCCCCCAGGACAAGACAUCAGCUGACUCAGACGUGACUUGACAUGUCAGGGUCACGGGAAGCAGAGGCGGCGAUGGGUCAGCGUGAAGAAGCAGGUGUUGGGGUGUUGGUGCGCUGCCUCGCUCCCUUGUGCCUCCUUGCUACCCCCUUCUCCCUGUGAAUUAGUGAAGUGGAGUAACGUAGAGGAGUAUUCAAUUAAAUUUCAGCAUUAUAAGUGAAACUGGGAGGUAAAAGGAAUUUGUCUAAUGUUUUUUUUUAUUAUUGUUUUUGUUAUUGUGAUGAAUUUGUGUAGUCAAGUAGAGAAAUUAUGAGGUGAAUAUCAUCAAAGGAAGUGAAAUUGAUGGUUAUAUGACUUGUCUAAUACCUUGUUUCAUUAUUAUUAUUAUUAUUAUUAUUAUUAUUAUUAUUUUGUGGAGAAAUUUUGCGGCUUGCGGCACUGAAACGGAAAAUAAACUUCAAUAAUACAACUGAUAAACUUCAUGUGCACCUUGUGAAUAUUUUCUAAUGUUAUUUGAAAGAACAUGAAGGGAAGGAUAGAAACAGUAACAUAACAAAGGAAAAGAGAUAGGAAAGAAGAGACGAAAGAAAUAAAGACUCAUAUGAAAACUCUCUCUCUCUCUCUCUCUCUCUCUCUCUCUCUCUCUCUCUCUCUCUCUC